AUGCCUUUCUCGGCCUUUUGGCUAAGAUCAAGUGUAUCUGUUCGUAUCAGUUUAAUAUUUGAUACGUGGGCCAAUGGUCCACAAGAUAUUAUCGAUAAUAUCGAUAAUAUAGCGAUAUAUUAACGACAAUUAGAUGGAUAAGUGUGAAAAUAUCGUUCAUUCACAAAAACGAUAUUAUCGGCGAAAU